GGUGGUAUAGCUCAGUGGUGGAGCACAUGCUUAGCAUGCACGAAUUCCUGGGUUCAAGCCCCCAGUACCUCCA
rnacentral:tRNA from 1 species